rnacentral:rRNA from 1 species
CCUACGUGAGGCAGCAGUGGGGAAUAUUGGGCAAUGGGCGCAAGCCUGACCCAGCAACGCCGCGUGAAGGAAGAAGGCUUUCGGGUUGUAAACUUCUUUUUAGAGGGAAGAGCAGAAGACGGUACCUCUUGAAUAAGCCACGGCUAACUACGUGCCAGCAGCCGCGGUAAUACGUAGGUGGCAAGCGUUGUCCGGAUUGAUUGGGUGUAAAGGGCGUGUAGGCGGGAGCGCAAGUCAGAUGUGAAAACUCAGGGCUCAACCCUGAGCCUGCAUUUGAAACUGUGUUUCUUGAGUGCUGGAGAGGCAAUCGGAAUUCCGUGUGUAGCGGUGAAAUGCGUAGAUAUACGGAGGAACACCAGUGGCGAAGGCGGAUUGCUGGACAGUAACUGACGCUGAGGCGCGAAAGCGUGGGGAGCAAACAGGAUUAGAUACCCUAGUAGUC